GUGGAGCCAACCUUGAGAUACCACCCUAGCAUGAUUUGAGUUCUAACCUAGGUCCGUUAUCCGGAUCAGGGACAUUGUAUGGUGGGUAGUUUGACUGGGGCGGUCUCCUCCUAAAGAGUAACGGAGGAGCACAAAGGUUCCCUCAGCGCGGUCGGCCAUCGCGUUUAGAGUGCAAAGGCAUAAGGGAGCUUGACUGCGAGACAGACAUGUCGAGCAGGAGCGAAAGCUGGUCUUAGUGAUCCGGUGGUUCUGUAUGGAAGGGCCAUCGCUCAACGGAUAAAAGGUACGCCGGGGAUAACAGGCUAAUUCCCCCCAAGAGUUCACAUCGACGGGGGAGUUUGGCACCUCGAUGUCGGCUCAUCACAUCCUGGGGCUGUAGCAGGUCCCAAGGGUAUGGCUGUUCGCCAUUUAAAGUGGUACGCGAGCUGGGUUUAGAACGUCGUGAGACAGUUCGGUCCCUAUCUGGUGCGUUCGUUGGAAACUUGAAGGGAGCUGCUCCUAGUACGAGAGGACCGGAGUGGACGUACCCCUGGUGUUCCGGUUGUCACGCCAGUGGCACCGCCGGGUAGCUAUGUACGGAAGGGAUAACCGCUGAAAGCAUCUAAGCGGGAAGCCCACCCUAAGAUAAGGUUUCCCUGGAUCCUUGAGAUCCCUGAAGGGCCAUCGAAGACUACGAUGUUGAUAGGUCGGGUGUGGAAGCUCAGUAAUGAGUGUAGCUAACCGAUACUAAUUACCCGUGAGACUUG
rnacentral:rRNA from 1 species